UACCACUUACAGAUGGACCCGCGGCGCAUUAGCUAGUUGGUGAGGUAACGGCUCACCAAGGCAACGAUGCGUAGCCGACCUGAGAGGGUGAUCGGCCACACUGGGACUGAGACACGGCCCAGACUCCUACGGGAGGCAGCAGUAGGGAAUCUUCCGCAAUGGACGAAAGUCUGACGGAGCAACGCCGCGUGAGUGAUGAAGGUUUUCGGAUCGUAAAGCUCUGUUGUUAGGGAAGAACAAGUACCGUUCGAAUAGGGCGGUACCUUGACGGUACCUAACCAGAAAGCCACGGCUAACUACGUGCCAGCAGCCGCGGUAAUACGUAGGUGGCAAGCGUUGUCCGGAAUUAUUGGGCGUAAAGGGCUCGCAGGCGGUUUCUUAAGUCUGAUGUGAAAGCCCCCGGCUCAACCGGGGAGGGUCAUUGGAAACUGGGGAACUUGAGUGCAGAAGAGGAGAGUGGAAUUCCACGUGUAGCGGUGAAAUGCGUAGAGAUGUGGAGGAACACCAGUGGCGAAGGCGACUCUCUGGUCUGUAACUGACGCUGAGGAGCGAAAGCGUGGGGAGCGAACAGGAUUAGAUACCCUGGUAGUCCACGCCGUAAACGAUGAGUGC
rnacentral:rRNA from 1 species